UACAGGGGUCUCAAGCGUUGUUCGGAUUCAUUGGGCGUAAAGGGUGCGUAGGCGGCGCGGUAAGUCGGGUGUGAAAUCUCGGGGCUUAACUCCGAAACUGCAUUCGAUACUGCCGUUCUUGAGGACUGGAGAGGAGACUGGAAUUUACGGUGUAGCGGUGAAAUGCGUAGAUAUCGUAAGGAAGACCAGUGGCGAAGGCGGGUCUCUGGACAGUUCCUGACGCUGAGGCACGAAGGCCAGGGGAGCAAACGGG
rnacentral:rRNA from 1 species